GGCCGCGGUAUUUUGACCGUGCAAAGGUAGCGUAAUCACUUGUCUUUUAAAUGAAGACCUGUAUGAAUGGCAAAACGAGGGCCUAACUGUCUCCCCCCUUCAAUCAAUGAAAUUGGUCUCCCCGUGCAGAAACGGGGAUGAAAGCAUAAGACGAGAAGACCCUGUGGAGCUUAAGACACAAGACAGGAACAUUUCCCCUUGCCCCCCCCCCACGUGAGCAAGACUAAUUGUGCCCCUGCCCUCUGUCUUUGGUUGGGGCGACCGCGGAGAAAAAAGCAUCCCCCGCGAGGACAAGAAACACCCCUCCUUUCUAAAGACUCGGUCUACCCUCCUAGUACGCAGAACUUCUGACCACAAGAUCCGGCAUCGCCGAUCAACGGACCAAGUUACCCCAGGGAUAACAGCGCAAUCCUCUUCCAGAGCCCAUAUCGACAAG
rnacentral:rRNA from 1 species